AUUGAACGCUGGCGGCAGGCCUAACACAUGCAAGUCGAACGAGUGGCGGACGGGUGAGUAAUGUCUGGGAAACUGCCUGAUGGAGGGGGAUAACUACUGGCAACGGUAGCUAAUACCGCAUACCAUCGGAUGUGCCCAAAUGGGAUUAGCUAGUAGGUGGGGUAAAGGCGCACCUAGGCGACGAUCCCUAGCUGGUCUGAGAGGAUGACCAGCCAAACUGGAACUGAGACACGGUCCAUACGCCUACGGGAGGCAGAAGUGGGGAAUAUUGGACAAGGGGAGCAAGCCUGAUGCAGCCAUGCCGCGUGAAGGAAGAAGGCCUUCGGGUUGUAAAGUACUUUCAGCGGGGAGGCAUUACCCGCAGAAGAAGCACCGGGUAACUCCGUGCCAGCAGCCGCGGUAAUAC
rnacentral:rRNA from 1 species